rnacentral:rRNA from 1 species
AUUGAACGCUGGCGGCAGGCUUAACACAUGCAAGUCGAGCGAGCGGCGGACGGGUGAGUAAGGUCGGGGAAACUGCCUAAUGGAGGGGGAAAACUAGUGGAAACGUUAGAUAAUACCGCUAAACGCACGAUGUGCCCAGAUGGGAUUAGGUAGUAGGGGGGGUAAUGGCUCACCAAGGCGAAGCUCCAUAGCAGGUCUGAGAGGAUGACCAGCCACACUGGGACUGAGACACGGUCCAGACUCCUACGGGAGGCAGCAGUGGGGAAGAUUGCGCAAUGGGCGAAAGCCUGACCCAGCAAUGCCGCGUGUGUGAAGAAGGCUUUCGGGUUGUAAAGCUCUUUCGUCGAGGAGGCGGUACUCGCAGAAGAAGCACCGGCUAACUCCGUGCCAGCAGCCGCGGUAAUAC